GACGAACGCUGGCGGCGUGCUUAACACAUGCAAGUCGAACGAAAAGAGGGAAAGAGCUUGCUCUUUCCGGAAUUGAGUGGCAAACGGGUGAGUAACACGUAAACAACCUGCCUUCAGGAUGGGGACAACAGACGGAAACGACUGCUAAUACCGAAUAAGUUCCAAGAGCCGCAUGGCCCAUGGAAGAAAAGGUGGCCUCUACCUGUAAGCUAUCGCCUGAAGAGGGGUUUGCGUCUGAUUAGCUGGUUGGAGGGGUAACGGCCCACCAAGGCGACGAUCAGUAGCCGGUCGGAGAGGAUGAACGGCCACACUGGAACUGAGACACGGUCCAGACGCCUACGGGAGGCAGCAGGGGGGAAUCUUCCGCAAGGGGCGAAAGCCUGACGGAGCAACGCCGCGGGAGGGAUGACGGCCUUCGGGUUGUAAAACUCUGUGAUCCGGGACGAAAAGGCAGAGUGCGAAGAACAAACUGCAUUGACGGUACCGGAAAAGCAAGCCACGGCUAACUACGUG
rnacentral:rRNA from 1 species